rnacentral:ncRNA from 1 species
ACCCCGGCUCUUUCAAGAGCCACCAAAUAUACUAUUAAACAGAAUU